rnacentral:rRNA from 1 species
GACGAACGCUGGCGGCGUGCUUAACACAUGCAAGUCGAACGGAAAGGCCCUGCUUUUGUGGGGUGCUCGAGUGGCGAACGGGUGAGUAACACGUGAGUAAACUGCCCUUGACUUUGGGAUAACUUCAGGAAACUGGGGCUCAUACCGGGUAGGAGCUCCUGCUGCAUGGUGGGGGUUGGAAAGUUUCGGCGGUUGGGGAUGGACUCGCGGCUUAUCAGCUUGUUGGUGUGGUAGUGGCUUACCAAGGCUUUGACGGGUAGCCGGCCUGAGAGGGUGACCGGCCACAUUGGGACUGAGAUACGGCCCAGACUCCUACGGGAGGCAGCAGUGGGGAAUAUUGCACAAUGGGCGGAAGCCUGAUGCAGCAACGCCGCGUGCGGGAUGACGGCCUUCGGGUUGUAAACCGCUUUCGCCUGUGACGAAGCGUGAGUGACGGUAAUGGGUAAAGAAGCACCGGCUAACUACGUG